rnacentral:rRNA from 1 species
UACGGGGGGGGCAAGCGUUGUUCGGAAUUACUGGGCGUAAAGUGUGCGCAGGCGGCCGCGCAAGUCGAGUGUGAAAGCCCCGGGCUUAACUUGGGAAUUGCGCUCGAAACUACGUGGCUAGAGUGUGGCAGAGGGAGGUGGAAUUCCACGUGUAGCGGUGAAAUGCGUAGAGAUGUGGAGGAACACCGAUGGCGAAGGCAGCCUCCUGGGCCAACACUGACGCUCAUGCACGAAAGCGUGGGGAGCAAACAGG